rnacentral:rRNA from 1 species
AACGAACGCUGGCGGCAUGCCUAACACAUGCAAGUCGAACGAGAUCUUCGGGUCUAGUGGCGCACGGGUGCGUAACGCGUGGGAAUCUGCCCUUUGGUUCGGAAUAACAGUUGGAAACGACUGCUAAUACCGGAUGAUGACGAAAGUCCAAAGAUUUAUCGCCAGAGGAUGAGCCCGCGUAGGAUUAGCUAGUUGGUGUGGUAAAGGCGCACCAAGGCGACGAUCCUUAGCUGGUCUGAGAGGAUGAUCAGCCACACUGGGACUGAGACACGGCCCAUACUCCUACGGGAGGCAGCAGUGGGGAAGAUUGGACAAUGGGCGAAAGCCUGAUCCAGCAAUGCCGCGUGAGUGAUGAAGGCCUUAGGGUUGUAAAGCUCUUUUACCCGGGAUGAUAAUGACAGUACCGGGAGAAUAAGCUCCGGCUAACUCCGUGCCAGCAGCCGCCGUAA